rnacentral:lncRNA from 1 species
UAAGCAUACAUAAAUCGAGCAGCUACUAACUCACAUCAAUGAACAUAAUAUAAAGAUUAAUAGGACCUAAAAUCUUCACAAUAGAGAUUUUAUUAAAAUAGAACACUGAUAGUUUGACAACGAUUACAUACCCAACGUAAUCAAUCACAUACGAGUCACAACAGCCAAGCUACUCAGAUGCCUUCAAAUGAUCCGUAUAAACCAAAAAAGAGAAAAAAAACAAAGCCAAAAACCUAUCAAACGAAUAAAACCGUAGGAGUCCAAGAAGAUUCGAUAAAACAUUAGCAGCAGUAGCAUUCGGGUUCCGAAGAACUAGCAAUUCCAAACUCGAAGGAUUCCAAGGCGGCGNNN